UACGAACUGACAUUUUACAAGCAACAUACAUUCCUUAAAACAGAGCUUGGAGGCAGGAUAUUUAUUUUAACAGAAAGACUUCUCAUUGUCAAACUGCAUAGCUUUACAAUCCUUGCACAAUUACAGAACACACACCCUACUGCCCAAAUCUCUGUAAUCCAAAUACUCACCUUUAACUCAACUAUAGAUCUGACAAAAUACUCUGUACCAUUCAACA